CCUACGGGUGGCAGCAGUGGGGAAUAUUGGGCAAUGGAGGCAACUCUGACCCAGCAACGCCGCGUGAAUGAUGAAGGUCUUCGGAUUGUAAAGUUCUGUGAUGGGGGAUGAACACAAUGACGGUACCCCAAUAGCAAGCCACGGCUAACUACGUGCCAGCAGCCGCGGUAAUACGUAGGUGGCAAGCGUUAUCCGGAAUGACUGGGCGUAAAGGGUGCGUAGGUGGUUUAGUAAGUUGGCGGUGUAAUUCCGGGGCUCAACCUCGGCGCUACCGCCAAACCUAUUAGACUAGAGUGCAGGAGGGGCAGGCGGAAUUCCUGGUGUAGCGGUGAAAUGCGUAGAUAUCAGGAGGAACACCGGCGGCGAAGGCGGCCUGCUGGACUGAAACUGACGUUGAGGCUCGAAAGCGUGGGGAGCAAACAGGAUUAGAUACCCUAGUAGUC
rnacentral:rRNA from 1 species